ACACAGAUUACCUAUAAUAUAAUCUCGUUCUCUUUAUUUCUACUGAACUCGUGAGGCCUAAUGAUUUUGAAAAUAAGACAUUAGUGCACGCUGUGACACGAUAUUGAUAGGUUAAAUUAUAGCUUUUUGCUUACGGUUUUUAUUUUAUCAGUUCCGUCCGAUCAUUUUUAAAUUCCGCCCCCCCCUUUUUUCACGAAAGGUUAAGUCCCGCAUUCAGUUUUCGAAAAGUUGGCCGCCUUAUGCUUAUUCUAUCUGAAUGUUGGAUGAUAUUACAGCUAACAGGUACAUUAUAGGACUGUAACACAUUAAGGAUAGUUUAAUCACAGUAAAGAUGCAGCAAUUGUAGUAAAUAUUAUUUACUUAAAGGAUUUUACAGACUGAAGCAUAAUAAAUAAAUAUAAAUCAGUAGUGUCAAUUAAUCAGAAGAAAAUAUAACUCAGUAGUGUCAGUAAUCUGAGUAGCCAGAUCAGAUAUGUUUUUUUUGAAAGAUUUCAUUUUAAUUUGGAAUCCACCACUUGAUGCUGAGACCAGUUUUCUCAACCAUUAAAAAUAACCCGAAUUGCUUAAAGAUAUGUAUACUAGAAUCAAAUAAAUACAAAAUAAAGAAAUUUCGGCUUUGAAAUCUGAAUCGAAAGCAGUCUAUAUAUUAUUAACUUAAUAAAUGAAUAUUAUAAAUUGGGUCAAUAAGAGAUAGGUUUGAGUUGGAACAAAACAACAUUAGUUAUACAUAAAAUUGUCUGAUACUACACAGGAGCUAUACCAUCAGAAUACAUUAUACCAUACUGAAAAAGAAGUAUGUGAGACAGUUAAAGAAUAAAAGACUAGGCAAUUAAUAAGUAAUUUGUCCUAGCCCAUUAAAAAGUUGAAUGCAUACCAGGGCACUCAGUAAAACAUAUAGAUUAUUAUAAAUAAACUGAACCUGAACUUUUAUGGAUGGUAACAAUACGAGUUAACAUUUCUCUCUAUACUCUCUUUAUGACAGGAAAUCUUGUAAUUUCCUGGGAGGUAAGACAUUUUAUUCUGAGACUAAAUUUCAGCACAUAUUGUAUGUUAGACCUUCUCUCACAGAAAAUUACAUGUACAGUUUAUGAUGAUUUUCUUGAUUGAUGUUGUGAGUCUAUUCUGACCACUUAUAAAAUAGAAACCAAGAUUGUGGAGGAUCAGAGGAGUGAAUUCAGUGGGGUGUCAACAACAUCUUUAACAAGUCAGUAAGUACAACCACAAGUGUUUUACAGUCAACAACUAAGAAAGAGCAUUGCUUAGUAUUUAUUAGUUUUGAACCAUUAAUUGAAAAAAAAAACUGACUGAUAAAGAACAAUUUAUAUGGUGAUUGGAACUUAUAUUUAAAGAUGAUGACAUCUGGUUAUGUUUAUAUUCAUAUAUAUUUAUUUGCAUUCCAUAAUGUUACAAUAGAUGUUGAAGAGGCUUAAAACUAAGUAGGUACCAUUAUAGGCCCUGUUAGGGCACAGCUAAAGAAGGCAAUACUUUAAGGCACCAUAAAUAAAGAACCAUGAGUUAAACUAGGCUCAGGGGUACUUUGUUGUCACUUUGUUUGUAUUAAAAUUGUUUCUACGCCACCACCUUCAAUUCUGCUUUCGUAUCCCUCAUCAGGGAUAUAGUUCCGAAGGAGCAGAAAGCUUUUCCACUCACGCUUUACAACUUGUAGAGUUAUAAUUUGAUUAAAUGGUAUUAACUAAAAAGAAAAGCUUAAAUUGAGAAGUGUAGUGAUUUUAAUGAAUUGUUAAUUAAUAAAACAAUACCAGACGAAGAAAAUUGAAUGAAUAAAUUAAAGAUUUGUACAAUUUUUACCUUGAUUAUCUGUUAUUAAUUCUUACGAGCCUCUGUAUUGAGAUGUGAAAUGAAUUGAAAGAUUCAUACUAAUUCAGUUUGGUUGUAUUGUUGAAUUAUUGAAAUAAGACUACAUAAAUAAACUUUGAUAAGUUCAUAGGUUGGAAGGUAUGCACUAUGUACUGUUUUAGCUGGUUCUAUUGUUUGUUGCUGAAAACAAACGACUCGAGGAAGAAAAUGGAUAUUAUGUAUUUAUAUAUUUUAAUCACUACAAUAAGGGAUUAACAGAAACAAUUGUAAUGUUGUAACAAUUGUAACUUGUAGUGGUCUGAUUGAGUUUGAUUGUGUUGUUAAAUAAUAAUAAUAGAAGACAUGUAUUGAUUUAGUUCAACCAUAGGCAUUGCUCUAAUACAAAUAAGAGAUGGACAGAGAAAAAUGUAAUUACUUGUACAUUUCUCAUUUUAUUAUGUUGUUAAUUAUUAAAAACUAGCGACUGGAAUGCUAAUAAAGAAUUGAGUAUUGAAUAGACAAGAUAUAUUGUACUAGUUGUGAGAUAACGAAUAUAAAUAAGAGAUGGACAGAGAAACUGACUAAAGAAUUUGUAUUAGCUACUUUGAUCAUAUUGAUGAUUAAUGGAUACUAAACGAGAUAAAAUAUGUAUACAUAUAUAUUGUAGUCAGAGAUAGAAGAUGUAAUAAAUUGAGAGAUUUGUAUAUUGUCCAGUUUGAGGAUAUUGACAAUUACGAGUCAUUUAUGAUUCUGAAUUUAAUACACGGAAGGAAUUGUGUAAGGACGGUUUUGUGUAAGGAGCCGCUUGUGAUAAUAUUAUUAAUCAAUAUUUAUAGAGAUCUUCAUUGACACACCUACUUAAAAAGCUGUGUAUAUUUUUCAUGGCUCUCAAUUCUUCGAAACUAAGUCCUUAAAAAAUAAAUUGUAUAUAUUGUGCCAAUAAAGUGUAAUUGUGAAGUAUAUAAAAUAAGACAGGAUAUUAAGCAAUUGUAUAUUGUAUUGAAGAUCAAUACAAGUGUAGUGACGCAGUUUAUGAAUCUAAGGCUGGAUAUUAAGAAAUUGUAUAUUGUAUUGUUAAUGUACAGUAGUCCAGGUACUGGAUAGAAAGAAGUUGUUUACUGUAAUGAGAAUUAUAUAAGCAGAAGCAAUGUGUAAAUACUGAUUUGCACUUUGAAUUAUGAUAGUGAUAAAUUUUAAUGUGUUAAUAAGGAACAUAAGUUCAGAGACUUUGUAUAAUAGAAGUUUUCUAUUGAAAUAAGAAAUGAUAUAAGUAUUUUGAUGCCAAUAUGGUGAUGUUGACUUGUGCUGCUUGAAUUUGAAUGAGGUACACAAAUCCAGAGACUGGAUACAUAGGAUUCUUUAUUUAAUGAUAUUUGUUUGUGACUUUAGUUUAUUUAGUGAUAUACAUAAGUAUGUUGUCGUCGAUAUGUUCAUAUUGACUUGUAAUAUUGAAAUUUGAAUGUAUUGAUAAAGUAUGUGUAAGAUAAGAACCGAGACUGGAUAUAAGGAAUUGUUUACUUGAUGGGGAACUAUAUAAAUGAAUUCAUGUCAAUAUGUUGAUUUUGACUUGUAUUGCUUGAAUUUGAAUGUAUUGGUAAGGUACCUACACAAGUCCGGAGACUGGAUAUAGAGAAUUGUUUAUUUAAUGGGGAAUGAUAAAAGUAUAUUGAUGUCAAAAUGUUGAUGUUGACUUGUAAUCGUUGAAUUUGAAUGUAUUUAUAAAGAAAUAAAUCCAGAGACUGGAUAUAAAACAUGUCGAUUAUUGAAAUAGGAAAUGACAUAAGUAUAUAGAUGCCAAUAUGUUGAUGUUGACUUGAAAUGGUUGAAUUUGAAUGUAUUUAUAAAGAAUAUAGAUCCAGAGACUGGAUAUAAAUAAAGUUGAUUAUUGAAAUAGGAUAUGAUAUAAGUAUAUAGAUGCCAAUAUGUUGAUGUUUACUUGUAAUGGUUGAAUUUGAAUGUAUUUAUAAAGAAAUAAAUCCAAAGACUGGAUAUAAAACAAGUCGAUUAUUGAAAUAGGAAAUUAUAUAAGUAUAUAGAUAUCAAUAUGUUGAUGUUGGCUUGAAAUGGUUGAAUUGGAAUGUAUUUAUAAAGAAUAUAAAUCCAGAGACUGGAUAUAAAACAAGUCGAUUAUUUAAAUAGGAAAAUAUAUAAGUAUAUAGAUGCCAAUAUGUUGAUGUUGACUUGUCAUGGUUAAAUUUGAAUGUAUUGAUAAGGUACAUAAGUCGAGAGACUUGAUAGAAGGAUCUUGAUGUCAAUUUGUUAACAUGACUAGAAGACGUAGAUAGCUCCAAAUAGGAGUGAAUUCCUCGUUGCAGUCACAGUGAUAGUAAGAUUAACUUACUCUGUUAAACUUGAAUGUUUUGAUAAAGUAUACAAGUCCAAAUACUAGACGUGAAGUUGUUUACCGUAGUAAGAAUUUGUACAAGUAUAUGGUUGCCAAUUUGUUAAAAUGGCAAUGUACACAAGUCACAGUUUGGAUUCAAAAUGAAAUGAAAUGAAAAUAUUCGCAGAAAUUGUUUAUCGUAGUGAGAGUUUAUGCAAUUAUAUUGUUGACGAUUUGUUAGCAUGGCUGGAAGGCGUGGAUGGCUCCAGUUGGAGUGAAGGCCACGAUGCAGUCCUAGUUAAAGAUACGACUCUGGAAGGUUGGCACGAUCGUGAAGCCUUGUUGGUGGAUAUCCUCUUGGCUUUGCGGUGAGGGGUCAAAUGCAGAUGUCGUGAGUUGAGAUUGGCUGGAAGGCGUGGAUGGCUCCAGUUGGAGUGAAGGCCACGAUGCAGUCCGUCCUAGUUAAAGAUACGACUCUGGAAGGUUGGCACGAUCGUGAAGCCUUGUUGGUGGACAUCCUCUUGGCUUUGCGGUGAGGGGUCAAAUGCAGAUGUCGUGAGUUGAGAUUGGCUGGAAGGCGUGGAUGGCUCCAGUUGGAGUGAAGGCCACGAUGCAGUCCGUCCUAGUUAAAGAUACGACUCUGGAAGGUUGGCACGAUCGUGAAGCCUUGUUGGUGGACAUCCUCUUGGCUUUGCGGUGAGGGGUCAAAUGCAGAUGUCGUGAGUUGAGAUUGGCUGGAAGGCGUGGAUGGCUCCAGUUGGAGUGAAGGCCACGAUGCAGUCCGUCCUAGUUAAAGAUACGACUCUGGAAGGUUGGCACGAUCGUGAAGCCUUGUUGGUGGACAUCCUCUUGGCUUUGCGGUGAGGGGUCAAAUGCAGAUGUCGUGAGUUGAGAUUGGCUGGAAGGCGUGGAUGGCUCCAGUUGGAGUGAAGGCCACGAUGCAGUCCGUCCUAGUUAAAGAUACGAAUCUGGAAGGUUGGCACGAUCGUGAAGCCUUGUUGGUGGACAUCCUCUUGGCUUUGCGGUGAGGGGUCAAAUGCAGAUGUCGUGAGUUGAGAUUGGCUGGAAGGCGUGGAUGGCUCCAGUUGGAGUGAAGGCCACGAUGCAGUCCGUCCUAGUUAAAGAUACGACUCUGGAAGGUUGGCACGAUCGUGAAGCCUUGUUGGUGGACAUCCUCUUGGCUUUGCGGUGAGGGGUCAAAUGCAGAUGUCGUGAGUUGAGAUUGGCUGGAAGGCGUGGAUGGCUCCAGUUGGAGUGAAGGCCACGAUGCAGUCCGUCCUAGUUAAAGAUACGACUCUGGAAGGUUGGCACGAUCGUGAAGCCUUGUUGGUGGACAUCCUCUUGGCUUUGCGGUGAGGGUCAAAUGCAGAUGUCGUGAGUUGAGAUUGGCUGGAAGGCGUGGAUGGCUCCAGUUGGAGUGAAGGCCACGAUGCAGUCCGUCCUAGUUAAAGAUACGACUCUGGAAGGUUGGCACGAUCGUGAAGCCUUGUUGGUGGACAUCCUCUUGGCUUUGCGGUGAGGGGUCAAAUGCAGAUGUCGUGAGUUGAGAUUGGCUGGAAGGCGUGGAUGGCUCCAGUUGGAGUGAAGGCCACGAUGCAGUCCGUCCUAGUUAAAGAUACGACUCUGGAAGGUUGGCACGAUCGUGAAGCCUUGUUGGUGGACAUCCUCUUGGCUUUGCGGUGAGGGGUCAAAUGCAGAUGUCGUGAGUUUAGAUUGGCUGGAAGGCGUGGAUGGCUCCAGUAAGAGUGAAGGCCUCGAGGCAGUCCUAGGAACGCAGCUCUGUAAAGGUGGCACAGUCAUGAAUUCUUGCUGGCGAAUAACCCCUUGACUUUGACCUUUAACUUUGUACCAAAAUAUAAACCAAUUUGUAAAUGUGAACACCAUGUAGCAUUUUAAUUGUCACUUUACUCUCAUUUGUCUUUGCGAUUCUACAUGAUCUUCGCAUGCUUUUACUGUAUGUAUCAAUACAUACAAAUUGUAAUACUAUAUUAUUUUUAAAAAGAGUAACCAUGGAGUUUCUUGCCCGUUCUUCUCCAUAGGAAGCUACUUUUGGAAUGGGCAACUAGAAUCAAACUUAGUUAUGGUUUUGACGUCCAUAAGUGCUUGUAAAGGCCUAAAUGAAAUAAAUGAUUUGACUUUGACUUUGAGAAGUUUGAGGACAAACUUAGUGGUCAGAAUGGCCGAAUGUUAGACUAAUAUUAUCCUGUGUUGUUCUGUAUGUUAUAUUCUCUUUUCAUACAUUAAGGAACUAUACUAUAUUUACCGAAGUAUACUAAAUCAUUUUAGUUUUAUACGGACAACACUACCUCUACUGUGAGGACAACACUAAAAAGAGAUUUUGACAGUUAGAGCGCGCGCUUUACAUGCGCUUCCUUGGUGGACUGAUAAACUAUGUUUUCUUACGAUUGAUAUUAAAUUGUGUUUUAAAAGUGAAUACAAGAAGUUAUUGUGAUA